ensembl:lncRNA
CUCAGAAGUAUUAAGAUAAAAAAUAAUUGAAACUUUGUAAGUAGUAAUUAAUCGGCUAUUACGGGGUCAGAGGGCAGUAAUAGCUCGGAACCCACAGCCCAGCUGAUUAUUAGGGUGCUGUAAGAUUAGAAUAAUUGCAACUGUGGAGACAAAAUAGAAAGAUAGUGGCCUUUUCCAAAAGGUAUAAAAAGCCAAUACUUCCUUCGGCAGCAGAACUUACCCCAGCCGCAGAAGAGACGCAGUCCCAUCCCAGGGGUGUGUAUUUGUUUGAAGCAGUGCUCUAACUAGGCAUGAGUCAGUUCUCGCUGAGAAUUUUGUUAGUGUUUCAUUUUGGGUUGGAAAUUGCUCCUUUAGAGCCCCGACCAAGACCAGCCCUCCACACCACUGGUGUAUCUUUGCUUAACUGCUCAGAUACCUGUCUCCCCUGGACUUUCCAGAGAGUGGAACAGAGGGCAGCUCAGUGUCUGAGAGCUCUGGCCAUGUGAGGAGAAAAUACUGCAAGGGAAGUCUGCCUGGGAGGACUGUUUCUACACUCAGGCUCAUAUUUGAAUUAGAAGAUCAUCGAGGAUAAUUUCUUACAUUCUAGACAAGGCAACUGGGGUGUGAGUAGAGUGACUGCUCUAAGGUCACAUAAAACUGGAUCAGUGCCCAGGACUACUCAUGGUGGCCCAGCAGUGUUCACAGGCCAGUGUCCUUCUGUGACCAUCUGGUCCUCAUCACCUGCUUGUCCUGUCCUUCCUCCAUCCCUGCAAAUACCGACCCCCACCCCUAUCUGUGCACACACGCACACACACAUACACUCUCUCUCAGUUUUCUUCUUUCUGCAAAUCCCUUUUCCCCUUCGCAUUUUACCAAGCUGACCAAAACAUGAAAAAUAAAUCGAACAAAAAAAUUCUUUAUUUUAAAAUAACAAACCCAAAUGCUCAGCUUUCCAACCUUAACUAAAUUGUGCAGGGUUUACUUGUGUUACUUCCUCUUGAUUUAUUUUUGUGGGUUCAGCCUCUAAAAAAAAAUAUAAAGGUUUAUCUGUUACAAUCCAAAGGAGAACAACUUGAAGGAGGAAAUAGAAAACAAAGGGAAAGGUGAGCAGAAAGAUCGCAUAACUACCUAAGGGAACACGAAAUACAAAUCUAGACAUGCCCACAUGUAUUUUUCCAUUUAGAAACAAGCCUUAGCAGCCUUGGUGCCAUCCUUUAUUGUUUCCUCUAGACGCUGGCCCGGUCUCAGUACGCAGUGCAUCUGGACUAAGCGUUAGCCUGCCCUCUGGUGGUGCCUGCCGACAUGUGCAUGUACAUGCGCCCAACGCCCAGGAAUAGGCGCUUGAAAAACUCACUGCUAGAAGGAAGGCUUCGGCUGCUUUCCAGUAAAUACAGCAGGUGGAGACACACACUGAAAAACUGCAACGCAGUCCACCUUGCUUUCAUUUGGCUCUUAGGAGAUUGCUGGGCACCCACAGUUAUUGAAACUAAGUUUGAUCGUAAUUUAUUUGUGAUGAUUCAUAUUUCCUGCUUGUUUUUAAUUCUUGAAAAAUGUUAAGAUCUGGAGAUUUCAAGCAUAUACAGUUUCUAAAUCCGUUGACUCCACCCCCACAUCAUUCAUUCGUAUUAAAUACCUACCAUGUGCAGAGAUUCAGGGUGAGAUGGUGGUGCAAAGGUUGGUAAGACAGACUCCAUCCUUAAAACUCACCCUCUGAUUGGGGAGAAGACAUAUUUGGACAUAAUUACAAUAUAUGGCGAUGGUAUAAACAGA